AUACACACCAUUGAUCUCUGUUCAGUGCUAAUGUCUCGGUUCAUCGUCACUACCAUCUCAGUUCUCCAUCGCGAUUCUGAGACAUUCGAAUGUGAAGACGGAGUGGUGAGUGGAGAUGAAUCAGUUACAAAUGAAGAGUGGGGGAAGAG